GCGCCGGUAGCUCAGUUGGUAGAGCACUCCCCUUUUAAGGGAGCUGUCAUGAGUUCGAGCCUCAUCCGGCGUACCA
rnacentral:tRNA from 3 species